rnacentral:rRNA from 1 species
CGCUGGCGGCAUGCCUAACACAUGCAAGUCGAACGAAGUCUUCGGACUUAGUGGCGCACGGGUGCGUAACGCGUGGGAAUCUGCCCCUUGGGUGCGGAAUAACUUCUCGAAAGGGAUGCUAAUACCGCAUAAUGUCGUAAGACCAAAGAUUUAUCGCCCAAGGAUGAGCCCGCGUAAGAUUAGCUAGUUGGUGGGGUAAAAGCCUACCAAGGCGACGAUCUUUAGCUGGUCUGAGAGGAUGAUCAGCCACACUGGGACUGAGACACGGCCCAGACUCCUACGGGAGGCAGCAGUGGGGAAUCUUAGUUACAAUGGGCGCAAGCCUGAUCUAGCCAUGCCGCGUGAUCGAUGAAGGCCUUAGGGUUGUAAAGAUCUUUCAGAUGGGAAGAUAAUGACUGUACCAUCAGAAGAAGCCCCGGCUAACUCCGUG